UUGCUCUCAAAGAUUAGCGGCGGACGGGUGAGUAACACGUGGGUAACCUGCCUGUAAGAUUGGGAUAACUCCGGGAAACCGGAGCUAAUACCGGAUAACAUUUUGAACCGCAUGGUUCGAAAUUGAAAGGUGGCUUUUGCUACCACUUACAGAUGGACCCGCGGCGCAUUAGCUAGUUGGUGAGGUAAUGGCUCACCAAGGCAACGAUGCGUAGCCGACCUGAGAGGGUGAUCGGCCACACUGGGACUGAGACACGGCCCAGACUCCUACGGGAGGCAGCAGUAGGGAAUCUUCCGCAAUGGACGAAAGUCUGACGGAGCAACGCCGCGUGAGUGAUGAAGGCCUUCGGGUCGUAAAGCUCUGUUGUUAGGGAAGAACAAGUACCGUUCAAAUAGGGCGGUACCAUGACGGUACCUAACCAGAAAGCCACGGCUAACUACGUGCCAGCAGCCGCGGUAAUACGUAGGUGGCAAGCGUUGUCCGGAAUUAUUGGGCGUAAAGGGCUCGCAGGCGGUUCCUUAAGUCUGAUGUGAAAGCCCACGGCUCAACCGUGGAGGGUCAUUGGAAACUGGGGAACUUGAGUACAGAAGAGGAGAGUG
rnacentral:rRNA from 1 species